rfam:Asian citrus Psyllid, Diaphorina citri - Florida Strain, whole genome shotgun sequence.
ACGAGCGGCGAUUGCACGUUGAAUGCACCAGUCCCUCGUGGAGCACUGGAGCAACGUUGGGCGAGGUUAGUACCCGGAUGGGUGUCCAUCUGGGCAAUCGCGUGCUGCUGUUU